CAUAUACUCCCUCCGUCCCAAAAUUCUUGUCUUAAAUUUGUUUAGAUACGGAUGUACCUACUAAAACGUGACUUGAUACAUCCGUAUUUGGACAAAUCUAAGACAAGAAUUUUGGGACAGAGGGGGUAUUUA
rfam:Triticum aestivum genome assembly, contig: Triticum_aestivum_CS42_TGACv1_scaffold_405698_5BL